rfam:Streptomyces albus subsp. albus strain NRRL B-2513 B2513contig943.1, whole genome shotgun sequence.
GCGAGACACCUGACCCGGUCACCGGAUGCGACCGAUAAACUGGCCGACGGUACGCGCCGAGCGCAGCUCUCGGACGUACCACCCAUGAUCAGCCAGCAGCCGCUGCAACCCCAGGGAG